GGGUGCGUAACUCAGUUGGAUAGAGUAGCGAACUUCUAAUUCGUUGGUCGCAGGUUCGAGUCCUGCCGCACCCGUCA
rnacentral:tRNA from 1 species